UGCUGUCAAAGAUUUUAUCGCCGAAGGAUGGGCUCGCGUCUGAUUAGAUAGUUGGUGAGGUAACGGCCCACCAAGUCAACGAUCAGUAGCCGGACUGAGAGGUUGAACGGCCACAUUGGGACUGAGAUACGGCCCAGACUCCUACGGGAGGCAGCAGUGGGGAAUAUUGGGCAAUGGGGGCAACCCUGACCCAGCAACGCCGCGUGAAGGAAGAAGGCUUUCGGGUUGUAAACUUCUUUGACGAGGGACGAUAGUGACGGUACCUCGAAAACAAGCCACGGCUAACUACGUGCC
rnacentral:rRNA from 1 species